UUUUGACCUUCUUAACAUGUCUUCCUAUCAUGGUGACCUUCUUAACAUGGUUUCCGGAAGCGUACGGUGAUUUACUGGGCAUGCGCACAAGCUUUGAAACACAACCGCGAAACCGUUGUUGUUUUGUACAAGAUGAAGCCAGCUCGAGGUUCCUCCAGAGCAUCAACGCAGGGUCCUAAAGGCGCAGGUCGAGAUAGGAAAAGAUUACAGCAAAAACCAUUGUCUGAUGGUGAAAGUGCACAAGAUAAGCCAAGAAAGAAAGUACUUGCAGAGCCGAGAAAGGUGAAAGGUCAGGAAAAAUGGAAACCAUUGGCCAAGUCCUCCGUCAUGGUCCUCGACAACAUGCUGAGUUUGUCAAUACUAUCUGUUCUCCCAGUGAAAACAAAAGAAAAAGAGGAAUUGCAGAAGCACCUUAACUCAUUGAAAGACCAGUUUCUAGUUAAAUGUUCUCAACUCCCUGUGCCGCCUCAGAAACAUGGAAACAUGAUGCAUGUGUCCCAGCAGUUCAACACAGAGAACAGGAAGGUUAAGCAUGGCAAAAAGAAAAUCAAGGAAUUAGAGGAGACCAGCCAGGCGGUGGUUAGCGAACUGGAGCAGCUGCAGGUAAAGAUGGACCGUUUGGAGCAUGAGUGCAGGAUCACAAGGGACAAACUGAAGGAAGAAGAGUUAAAUGCACAGAAGGUGAGUCAGAUGUUUAGAAGCUGCUGUGCUGUUCGUGUCUGCUCUAAAAUUCACAGAGGAGCCAUCUUUGCUUUUGAAAUAAGACCAAAAGUUUAUUCAGCUGACUGAGCAAGCUGUUUUGCGCCUUCCUGCUUUACCACUUUAUCCUGAAGAUGAGCCCACAUUACAGGAGAAGAUCAUGAAAGUAGUGCCCGAUCCCAAAGCUGUCAUGAAGGCUCUUCAGAAAAGAAAAGUAACCGGGAAUGUAAAAGCCUUUUUGGAGUUGGCACAUAAGCGGAUGGAUCACCUGUGACUCACCCUGUAACUCCAAACAACUGGAUCAGUGUUUUCUAAUUUCUUUUUUUAAUGAGCAAAAAUUCCGUAACUCGAAGUGUAACUAUUCUCUGAUUUAAAACAUUGUUGACUCAGUUAUAAAUUACCAUCCUUGUUUAUUACAAUAAGAUCAUAAUAUCAUAAUACUUUAGAUGUUAAUCAAAAUCAAAUUAUAUUAACUUCAAAGUCACUGUUAUAACACAAGCAAGUAUAUAAGCAAAAAUAACAUAUCAACAUUUAUAGGGAACUGAAUUUUCAGAUUUUCCUUUUUCUAGUCCAGUGUAACUGAUCAGUCAAAUGAUCAGCUUUGUAUAAAUACAUGAUUUCCUGAUUGAAAUGAAUGUAAAUAAAGUGACAUUGUUAAUCUA